GGAAGGAUCAUUAACACGUAUCCACGUAUCAACCAACCGUGAACUUGUUCUCACCUCUCCCUGCCGGUUACAUGAAUUGGAAUUGAGUGCUGUCGUUCGAUGAUGGGAGUUCGCUUCACCGCGAACCCAACGCACACUCGAUCACCUGUGAUUCGCGUCACUCACAAUUGUAGUAACUGUCGGGCUCCACUUCUGCUCUCGCAUUGUGCCAUCAUUGCAAUGUCGAGAGUGGAAACACAUUCACCCAUUCCACACUCAUUUUGCUAGUUGACUUUUAUAUGUUGUCUCAUACGAUCUAACUCAUCGUCUGAGUGCACACGUUUCUUAAUUGAACGUUAAAUUUACAACUCUUAGCAAUGGAUAUCUUGGUUCUCGCAACGAUGAAGAACGCAGCGAAAUGCGAUACGUAAUGCGAAUUGCAGAAUUCAGUGAAUCAUCAAAUCUUUGAACGCAAAUUGCGCUCUUGGGUAGCCCUAGGAGCACGCCUCUCUCAGUAUCGGUUCAACCACCUCUCAGCAGCGUGCCAGUCACAUGGCCACGCGUUGGCUGGAUAAUGAGAGUCUCGCUUCUCACCGAGCGAGUCUCUUCAAAUGAAUCGAGUGAGCCUCUAUUCGAAUACGAGUGACUUCGAGUCACAAGCCAGUUGAGACUGGUCGCAUUACGAGUGACGUGAAUACUGACCGCUCAAGGUCUCUCAUUUACGUGUAACUCGUUGCGACUACAAACAGUCACAAGUGUGUGUAUUUGGAUUGGACCUCACGUGUCGCGGCCAUUCUCUUGGAAUGACUGCAAUCGUCUCUCAAGUGACUAACUCUCACUUGUGAUUCUGAAUUUUGAUCUGAGAUGAAGCGAGACAACCCCCUGAAUUUAAGCAUAUUAAUAAGGGGAGGAAAAGAAACUAACAAGGAUUCCCCCAGUAACGGCGAGUGAAGCGGGAAGAGCUCAAUUUGAAAAUCGACUACCUAAGCGGGUCGUCGAGUUGUAGCCUAUAGACGUACUAUCAGCUGAAACCUGGGUAUAAGUUCUUUGGAAUGAGGCAUCAUAGAGGGUGAGAAUCCCGUAUAUGACCCAAAGCUUUCAGCGUACGAUGUGCGUUCUUCGAGUCGAGUUGUUUGGGAUUGCAGCUCUAAACGGGUGGUAAGUUUCAUCUAAAGCUAAAUAAUGGCGAGAGACCGAUAGCGAACAAGUACCGUGAGGGAAAGAUGAAAAGAACUUUGAAAAGAGAGUUAAAAGUACUUGAAAUUGCUAAGAGGGAAGCGCUGACAACCAGUGCUUCACGUCGUUCAACGCUAUCAGCCCCACUGGAUCGUGCGAGUAGUUGGCAACUCUGCUUGCGCGAUCGAAAGGGAGGUUGGUGGUUCCGGACGGCGGGUGAGUCAAGAUCCAUUCGAUCUGAGGGAGAAGGUAGUGAGAAAGGUAGGACACUCCGGUGUCUGUUAAGUCUCAUUACUCUACCUCGGGUUGGAUGGAGGAAGGAAUAGUGCGCUGCUUGCGGCUUAGUCCCAUGCCCCUACGGCUGAAGUUGCUCUGAUAGCAAUGCUAUCUCUGUGAUGCAAGGUCGUACUGGGUAUGGUGACUCUAUGUGCUAUCACGAUCUUGUACGAAAUGGUUGUCAUCGACCCGUCUUGAAACACGGACCAAGGAGUCUAACAUCUAUGCGAGUAUUUGAGUGAAAAACUCUGAUGCGCAAUGAAAGUAAAGGCAGCUUCGGCUGCUGAGGUAGGAAUCCGGUCACACGGAGGCACUAUCGACCGAUCAUCACUUGUGAAAGAUUUGAGUAAGAGCAUAUCUGUUGGGACCCGAGAGAUGGUGAUCUAUGCCUGAACAGGGUGAAGCCAGGGGAAACUCUGGUGGAGGCUCGUAGCGAUACUGACGUGCAAAUCGUUCGUCUGAUUUGGGUAUAGGGGCGAAAGACUAAUCGAACCAUCUAGUAGCUGGUUCCCUC
rnacentral:misc_RNA from 1 species